rnacentral:rRNA from 1 species
GUGAGGAAUAUUGGUCAAUGGGCGAAAGCCUGAACCAGCCAUGUCGCGUGAAGGAUGAAGGUCCUAUGGAUUGUAAACUUCUUUUGCAGGAGGGUAAAGUGAGCUACGUGUAGUUCAUUGCAAGUACCCUGCGAAUAAGCAUCGGCUAACUCCGUGCCAGCAGCCGCGGUAAUACGGAGGAUGCGAGCGUUAUCCGGAUUUAUUGGGUUUAAAGGGUGCGUAGGCGGACUAAUUAGUCAGCGGUGAAAUUUUGCGGCUCAACCGUAAAACUGCCGUUGAAACUGUUAGUCUUGAGUGCGGUAGAGGUAGGCGGAAUGUGUGGUGUAGCGGUGAAAUGCUUAGAUAUCACACAGAACACCGAUUGCGUAGGCAGCUUACUGGAGCGCAACUGACGCUGAGGCACGAAAGCGUGGGGAUCGAACAGGAUUAGAAACCCCAGUAGUCC